GUGGGCGUAGCUCAAUGGCGGAGCACUGGACUGUGGCUCCAGGGGUUGUGGGUUCGAGUCCCAUCGCCCACCCCA
rnacentral:tRNA from 1 species